GUCGACGGGGUCCAACCAGUAGCAAUACUGGUGAAGACCUAGUGGCGAACGGGUGAGUAACACGUGAGCAACCUGCCCCGAAGACUGGGAUAACAGCGGGAAACCGCUGCUAAUACCGGAUGCCCCCACCGGGUCGCAUGGCCUGGUGAGGAAAUGGAUUCCGCUUCGGGAGGGGCUCGCGGCCUAUCAGCUUGUUGGUGGGGUAAUGGCCUACCAAGGCGACGACGGGUAGCUGGUCUGAGAGGACGAUCAGCCACACUGGGACUGAGACACGGCCCAGACUCCUACGGGAGGCAGCAGUGGGGAAUAUUGCGCAAUGGGCGAAAGCCUGACGCAGCAACGCCGCGUGAGGGAUGAAUGCCUUCGGGUUGUAAACCUCUUUCGAGCAGGGACGAUAAUGACGGUACCUGCAGAAGAAGCUCCGGCCAACUACGUGCCAGCAGCCGCGGUAAUACGUAGGGAGCAAGCGUUGUCCGGAUUCAUUGGGCGUAAAGAGCUCGUAGGCGGCUUGGUAAGUCGGAUGUGAAACCUCCAGGCUCAACCUGGAGUCGCCAUCCGAUACUGCCAUGGCUAGAGUCCGGUAGGGGCCCACGGAACUCCUGGUGUAGCGGUGAAAUGCGCAGAUAUCAGGA
rnacentral:rRNA from 1 species